rnacentral:rRNA from 1 species
AACGAACGCUGGCAGCAUGCCUAACACAUGCAAGUCGAACGAGACCUUCUGGUCUAGUGGCGCACGGGUGCGUAACUCUUGGGAACCUUCCCUUAGGUUCGGAAUAACUCCCCGAAAUGGGUUCUAAUACCGGAUAAUGUCUUCGGACCAAAGAUUUAUCGCCUUUGGAUGGGCCCGCGUUGGAUUAGCUAGUUGGUAGGGUAAAAGCCUACCAAGGCGACGAUCCAUAGCUGGUCUGAGAGGAUGAUCAGCCACACUGGGACUGAGACACGGCCCAGACUCAUACGGGAGGCAGCAGUGGGGAAGAUUGGACAAUGGGAGAAAGCCUGAUCCAGCAAUGCCGCGUGAGUGAUGAAGGCAUGAGGGUUGUAAAGCUCUUUUACCCGGGAUGAUAAUGACAAUACCGGGAGAAUAAGCACCGGCUAACUCCGUG